GGCCAGACUCCUACGGGAGGCAGCAGUGGGGAAUAUUGGGCAAUGGACGCAAGUCUGACCCAGCAACGCCGCGUGAAGGAAGAGGGCUUUCGGGUUGUAAACUUCUUUUAAGGGGGAAGAGCAGAAGACGGUACCCCUUGAAUAAGCCCCAGCUAACUACGUGCCAGCAGCCGCGGUAAUACGUAGGGGGCAAGCGUUAUCCGGAUUUACUGGGUGUAAAGGGAGCGUAGACGGCGAAGAAAGUCUGAAGUGAAAGCCCGCGGCUCAACCGCGGAAUGGCUUUGGAAACUUUUUUGCCGGAGUACCGGAGAGGUAAGCGGAAUUCCUAGUGUAGCGGUGAAAUGCGUAGAUAUUAGGAGGAACACCAGUGGCGAAGGCGGCUUACUGGACGGUAACUGACGUUGAGGCUCGAAAGCGUGGGGAGCAAACAGGAUUAGAUACCCCGGUAC
rnacentral:rRNA from 1 species